rnacentral:rRNA from 1 species
AUUGAACGCUGGCGGAAUGCUUUACACAUGCAAGUCGAACGGCAGCACGGACUUCGGUCUGGUGGCGAGUGGCGAACGGGUGAGUAAUACAUCGGAACGUGCCCAGUCGUGGGGGAUAACGUAGCGAAAGCUACGCUAAUACCGCUUACGAUCUAAGGAUGAAAGCGGGGGAUCGCAAGACCUCGCGCGAUUGGAGCGGCCGAUGGCAGAUUAGGUAGUUGGUGGGGUAAAGGCCUACCAAGCCGACGAUCUGUAGCUGGUCUGAGAGGACGACCAGCCACACUGGGACUGAGACACGGCCCAGACUCCUACGGGAGGCAGCAGUGGGGAAUUUUGGACAAUGGGCGCAAGCCUGAUCCAGCCAUUCCGCGUGCAGGAUGAAGGCCCUCGGGUUGUAAACUGCUUUUGUACGGAACGAAAAGGCUCUGGUUAAUACCCGGGGCUCAUGACGGUACCGUAAGAAUAAGCACCGGCUAACUACGUGCCAGCAGCCGCAGUAA